UUACUUUAUAACAGAGUUGAUAAAAUUGGAAGGAUACAGAGAAGCGUGGCCCUUGCACAGGAUGACACGCAAAUUCGUGAAGGGUCCCAUGUUUUU
ensembl:snRNA U6 U6 spliceosomal RNA